CACGCGCCCCAUCCCCCCACGGGCCCUCGCCCCGCCCUCCCCAGCCCGGCUCCUCCCGUGGGAGCGGAAGCGGCGGGCAGCGGGUGUCCUGAGGCCGAGGAUUCAGCGGAAACGGAGCGGCGAGAGGCGAGAGGCGGAGAAGCUACGGAGGGAGGCCGGCCCCGGGGCUGCGAGAAGGGGCGGACCUGGGCCCCAGCCCCGCACACCCGGGGUCCGCAGGCGCGAACCGCACACGCGCGCAGUACAACCCGCAACCCGCGGCCGCAGCGCCAGGUGCGCACCUGCGGCCGACGCUCCGUGCGCUCCGGGGUCCCGCACCCGCGCGCGGCGGCCUCGCUCCACUCGCCCUGCACCCACCCCAGGACACCCCAGCGCGGCCCCAGCGUGUCCCCCGCUCAGCGGACACCUGCCACCAGCCACAAAGCAGAUGGUGAAGAGGAAGUUAUCAAAGUCAGCCCCUCCCAGGCUACCUCGGUGAGCAGUGAGCACCCUAUCUGGGGAGGUGACCCAGCAAAGGUAAGAGGAAGCCAGGUGUUGGCCUGGCAGGGACUAUGCUUCCAAGAACGUUUCAACUCCCUCUGCUGCCUCCGUUCUCGCCUCCAUUCUCACCUCUUCCCCUGCCCAGAAGAGCCCAUAGUCUGGGCUGUCACUUCUCUAUCAUCUCCCCCCAUGUCUGCAUCCCGCCCCAAAGUUCCACUCACUCUGUCUUCCUGUCAUUUGAUCCUCUUUUGGCCCAGAACUUCUGGAAUGCUGGCCAAAGGUGACAUCUAGCCCUCCUACUUGGCCCCACAAGCCAGGGAAAAAUAUCAGAAAUAUUUGGCUCCUAGGCUCUCUGCUCCUCUGACACUUAGUGACAGUUGAGCCUGCAGCCCCUCACUGUGGGCCAGCGUGCAGAGUGUGUGUAGUGUGCACGUGUGUGCCAACAUGCGUAUAUUACUGGGUAGUGCACAGAUGUGUGUCUCUGCAGCAGUCCACAGCGAAGGAAAAACAUGCUUGGAUCUAGAGCCAGGUUGGACCUAGGUUUGUAUCUUUGCUUAGGCUCUAACCAGUACUGGAACGUCAGGCCAGUCGCUUGCCCUCUACCAGCAGUAGCUCCCUGUCUGUAAAGUUGGAAUGACCAUUGAGGAGCUGGCCCAGGCCAGCCUGGCCUGCCUCCUCCACCCCCACCUUGUUCAGUCAGCUCCAAACGUGCUCCUUUUUUUCUAGUCCUUGUACAAACCAAAUUCGUCCUGCCUUGGGCCCCUGGUCCUAGCCCUGUCUUAAUUUACUCACAGUACUUGCCAAAGUUUGAAAUGAUCUCACUUGUGUAUUAAAUUAUUUAUCAUCUGUCCCUCCCAAACCCACCAGAAAGAACCUAAAGGGCAGCAAUGCCACAUUCUUACGUCUAGCACAGAGCCAGCUCCUUCUGGGUGGUCAAUGAAUUGUCAAAAGAAUGAAUGUAAAGUGCUCAGCGCAAUGCCCCACAUAUAAUAAAAGCUCAGAAUUGCUGAGUAUUAUUUUUUAAGAUUUUAUUUAUUUAUUCAUGAGAGACACACAGAGAGAGAGAGGCAGAGACACAGGCAGAGGGAGAAGCAGGCUCUACGCAGGGAGCCUGACAUGGGACUUGAUUCCUGGUCCCCAGGCUCAGGCCCUGGGUUGAAGGCGGCGCUAAGCCGCUGAGCCACCCGGGCUGCCCAGCUGGGUAUUUUUAUUAAGUAGGUGCAAAUGGCUGUCAUUACCUGUAGGGAAUGAACAGCUCUGCUCAACAGUUCUUUUCUUUUUUUUAAGACUGUAUUUAUUUAUUUAUUUAUUUAUUUAUUUAUUUAUUUAUUCAUGAGAGAAACACAAAGAGAGGCAGAGACACAGGCAGUGGGAGACGCAAGCCCUCUGUGGGGAGCCCGAUGUGGGACUCGAUCCCAGGACCCUGGGAUCAUGACUUGAACAGAAGGCAGAUGCUCAACCACUGAGCCACCCAGGCACCUCUGCUCAACAAUUCUUACAGCAAGUAUUUAUUUGAUCCUAUAUGAUGAUGAGUCAUGAGAGAAACAGGAAUAUGAAGCCCAGGGCCUGCUGUUAAGGAGCACAUGGGAUCCCUGGGAAGACAAAGACUUGGGGAAAAUAAUAAGACUGUUGGGAUCAUGGCUCACUGCAUUACUCUAACAAGACUGGAAGUGAGUAUCGCUACUCCAUUUUUUAGAUUAGAAGCCAGGGCUCUGACAGGCCGACAUGCCUAAGGUCACUCACCCUGUCUG
rnacentral:lncRNA from 1 species